rnacentral:rRNA from 1 species
UUCGGGGUACACGAGCGGCGAACGGGUGAGUAACACGUGAGCAACCUGCCCCUGACUCCGGGAUAAGCGGUGGAAACGCCGUCUAAUACCGGAUAUGACACACCAUCUCCUGGUGGUGUGUGGAAAGUUUUAUCGGUCAGGGAUGGGCUCGCGGCCUAUCAGCUUGUUGGUGGGGUAAAGGCCUACCAAGGCGAUUACGGGUAGCCGGCCUGAGAGGGCGACCGGCCACACUGGGACUGAGACACGGCCCAGACUCCUGCGGGAGGCAGCAGUGGGGAAUAUUGCACAAUGGGCGAAAGCCUGAUGCAGCGACGCCGCGUGGGGGAUGACGGCCUUCGGGUUGUAAACCUCUUUUACCACCAACGCAGGCCCCGGGUUCUCUCGGGGUUGACGGUAGGUGGGGAAUAAGGACCGGCUAACUACGUGCCAGCAGCCGCGGUAAUACGUAGGGUCCGAGCGUUGUCCGGAAUUAUUGGGCGUAAAGAGCUCGUAGGCGGCGUGUCGCGUCUGCUGUGAAAGACCGGGGCUUAACCCCGGUUCUGCAGUGGAUACGGGCAUGCUAGAGGUAGGUAGGGGAGACUGGAAUUCCUGGUGUAGCGGUGAAAUGCGCAGAUAUCAGGAGGAACACCGGUGGCGAAGGCGGGUCUCUGGGCCUUACCUGACGCUGAGGAGCGAAAGCAUGGGGAGCGAACAGGAUUAGAUACCCUGGUAGUCCAUGCCGUAAACGUUGGGCGCUAGGUGUGGGGACUUUCCACGGUUUCCGCGCCGUAGCUAACGCAUUAAGC